UACGGAGGAUCCAAGCGUUAUCCGGAUUCAUUGGGUUUAAAGGGUGCGUAGGCGGAAUGAUAAGUCAGUGGUGAAAGCCUGCAGCUUAACUGUAGAAUUGCCGUUGAUACUGUCAAUCUUGAGUGUAUUUGAUGUGGGCGGAAUGUGUCGUGUAGCGGUGAAAUGCUUAGAUAUGACACAGAACACCGAUUGCGAAGGCAGCUCACAAAACUACAACUGACGCUGAGGCACGAAAGCGUGGGGAGCAAACAGG
rnacentral:rRNA from 1 species